AGGUUGCUGUGUUGAAGGAUAUGCCCAGACAGCAAUUGGGAUCCUAAGCAGGCCAAGGGGAAUGUGUCUCUACGUGCUGGCUGCACAAGAUGAGCUAAGCCGGGAGGUGUAGCAGUGAUCGCGACACAGAGCAGAAGACAGAGGGGCCAUGUCUGCAGCGACGGGCCACUCGCUGAACCUGAUGGCGUGCGUGCGAGAGUCGUCGCCGCAGGAGCCGCCCCCCGACGCCGACCAGACCAGCCGCCAGGAGGGCAAGAGGAGGCGGUUCCACCCGCUGCGAGGGCUGCGGCGCAUGUUCC